CCAACCGCUCUCAGGCAAUGCGCGUGCCUUCGCUCUGGGCUCCCUGCCUCGCGCUCUAACCGCUCUUGAAGCUUUACUCCGGGAAGGCGCAUGCGCAAGCGCAGAGGCCUGGUUGACGGUUGGGGCCAACAUGGCGGUUGCAGAAUUCCUUACUGAAACCAGAGGUAAUGGUUAUUCUGACCCACCACUUCCGCAGUAUGUUCCUGCACCUUCCCCUUGUGCCUGCCCUUGAGGUAUUGGCAUGUGUGUGUCCUGGGGGGCAACACUCCCUCCUGUGCCCCGGGCCCCUCUCUAGCUGGCCCUCGGCUUUUCCCAAGGCCGUGGGUGAAGCCCCAGGCCGGGCCCCAGUCCCUGUUCUGCGGUCCGAGGCUGGGCGGGACGGGGACACCCAGGGAUGUGGUGGAGCUUGACAGCGCGUCGCGUCUGUGUCCCUUCCAUGCGCCGUGAUGCAGAAGCCCGAGGAACACUUCUCGUGUCUGAAAAGCGUCGUCCAGCGCCUCAGAGAAGUAGCUCCUGUCACUGAAAAGAAACUUGAAAUGUAAGCAAAAGUAUCAGCCACCAUUCAUGUUCUUAAAUACACUCAUUUGUCAGUGAUGUCAGCAACUUUCCAAAAUUGAAUUCUACCAUUGCUGACGUGAGAUGGAGCGAGAGCCAAGAUGAACAUGGGAAAGAAAACGUCCCAUGGAUGAGAUAAUGACAACUUUUGACCUAGAGAGCCUAGACUUUUUUAUGUUGCUUCUCCCAACUUUAUUCUCAAUGAUGAAAGAUUCCAAGUUUAACCACAAGUGACUUUAACCACAAGUGUCUCUGUGUUUCUAACUUUGGUUAUGUUCAAGAUUAUGUUUAAUAAUCAUGACCAUUUUAAAAGCUGAAACUGUCAAAUUUCAGUCCUUCAGACUAAUUAUUUUUUCAGUGAGACUAUCCCAAGUAGUUUAAUCUCACUACAUGGGAGCCAGAGAGCUGCUAGGGAGGGAAGACAUCAAGUGGAAAAUAGGAAAAGCAAAAGCCAGUUUGGUCUCCCAUUAGAAGAAGACAGCCAGGGCUCAAAAGCACACUUGCUACUACAUAGUACUUUAUUAUCCACACGGGAAGUAAUCUAUUAACACUGCAACAACACACACACACAUCCUGUGUGAUUCCAUUCACGUACAGUCUUAGGAAAUGGAAGCAAAUGUACAGUGACUGAAAGCAUAUUAGUAAAUCUGUGUCUGGGGUGGGGAGGGCCAGGCCUGGAAGAAGGGGUACAAAAGCACCGGAGGCUUUGGGGGUGAUAGGCAAUUUUUAAUCUUACUUAUGUAAUGGUUUCCCACUGUACACGUGUCAGAACUUUUCCAGUUGUCCCUUUUAAAUACACAGUUUAUUGUUUCCCAGUUGCAUCUCUAUAAGUGAUAAAGAAAAUCUGCAUCAAAUCCAAGAUUGUAUCACUGGAUGUUAUGCUGGAGUCUUUCUGUAAAAGAAAUAAAAAUAUUGCAGAAACAUUGCUUUUUUUCAGUCUCUUCCCUGUUUUUCUCUUUUCCAAUGCCAUUUCCUAAAAGUAAGCCCUGUCAAGAUAUUAGGGCACAUCCUUUGCACAUUUUUAUGCAUAUCCCAUUGUGCAUUACAUUUACUUUCUUCUGUGAGUUUAGAAUAUUUCCACAAAUACUAUGAUAUUGGGAAAUUACCUAAUUUGUGAUUUUCUGCCUGCUAUACCAGCUACCAACAUUGGCUGCUCAAGUUAUGACUACUUUUCUUACAUGCCAUGAAUCUCCCUCUGCCAGAUUCCUUUUUUGUUUGUUUUUGCUAAAGCAUAUUUUUAAGAAAUCUUAGAUAUUUCUAUGCAGCUACAAAAGGUAUACAGAUGAGAGACAAACUUUCCAAUCCCACCCGGAAUGUCCAAAAGUGUCUCUUUUUUGUUUUUCACUUCUAUUUGAUCAGUAGCUUGAAUGAGAAUAGAAUUUAAGGCCCUAAAUCUUUUUCUAAGACAUUUUCUACUACCAGCCCUUUUUUCCAUUUAAGUAAUGUACAUUUUUCUUUUAGAAAUUUUAAUAACUUUGAUUAACUCCAGAUUGUCUAAAAUUGCUUUAGGAUGUGUCUAUAAUAAUUAAAAUAAUUAACUUAUAUUCUCCUUUUCUUUUAUUGACUCCUAAU
ensembl:lncRNA